rnacentral:rRNA from 1 species
GCUCUCUGGGUGGCGAGUGGCGGACGGGUGAGGAAUACAUCGGAAUCUACUUUUUCGUGGGGGAUAACGUAGGGAAACUUACGCUAAUACCGCAUACGACCUACGGGUGAAAGCAGGGGAUCUUCGGACCUUGCGCGAUUGAAUGAGCCGAUGUCGGAUUAGCUAGUUGGCGGGGUAAAGGCCCACCAAGGCGACGAUCCGUAGCUGGUCUGAGAGGAUGAUCAGCCACACUGGAACUGAGACACGGUCCAGACUCCUACGGGAGGCAGCAGUGGGGAAUAUUGGACAAUGGGCGCAAGCCUGAUCCAGCCAUACCGCGUGGGUGAAGAAGGCCUUCGGGUUGUAAAGCCCUUUUGUUGGGAAAGAAAUCCAGCUGGUUAAUACCCGGUUGGGAUGACGGUACCCAAAGAAUAAGCACCGGCUAACUUCGUGCCAGCAGCCGCGGUAAUACGAAGGGUGCAAGCGUUACUCGGAAUUACUGGGCGUAAAGCGUGCGUAGGUGGUCGUUUAAGUCCGUUGUGAAAGC